rnacentral:lncRNA from 1 species
UGUUAAUGGUGUUUAGAUGGGACCAUGUGUAUCUUUCACGUAGAAAGAACUUAUUGUGAGUUGUGUUUGCUAACAGAUACUUAGGAGGAGCUGACCACAGCCCCGAACUCCAAACAAAGCGGGAACUGGCCGGCGUCCCUUAAUCCGGCCCAGCCCUUCUCCCUGAUCCGUUGCCCCAGGGCUCCCUCUGCUGGCAGACGGAAGUGGUGCUGCCCACGUGGCAGACUCUUGCCCUGGUCUCAGAUUCCCGGCCCUGGCCCCCGGCCUGAUUUACUCCUGUAGCUCCGCCUGACUAGUGACACCGCCUCUGCUCAGCUCCCAUAUCACCUCCUUGAUGACAUCUCAGGUCCCAGGCACAGCUUACAGAGUAUUUUAAAUGCAUGGCAGCUUGGCUUUUAUUUUGAAGAGUCUAAAUAUGAAGAGAUGAUCUCGACCUUAGAAACUAUCCAGACCUUGUAAGAGAGAUCCAAGGACAUAUCCAGAACUUAAAUAUAUUCUUGAAUACUUGGAAAAGAAACAUGAACAAGAUCCAAACAGGUGAUACAGGUUAAGGAAGUGAAUCACAAGCUAUAUAAAAUUGAGGUAAACUGGAAAACUCAAAGGAAAGUACUGUAUCUACUCCCAGCCGCCCAGAACAAAAGAUCACAUUAAAAAAUCCAUGGUGUGAAUUCCCUCCUUGGGCCAGAAGGGAGGAGAGAUGGGUUUCCCUGCAAGUCUGCCGACUGCACCCUGCCCUCCCUGAUGUAGCAGAGCUCCUCAGUGCAGAAGCAGAUACAAGUGCGUUCCUCGGACCCUGAGGCCCAGCCCCAAACCUGCUCUCAGCAGGCCGAGUG